UACAGAGGGGGCGAGCGUUGUUCGGAAUUACUGGGCGUAAAGGGCGCGUAGGCGGCCCGCUAAGUCGAACGUGAAAUCCCCAGGCUCAACCUGGGAACUGCGUCCGAUACUGGCAGGCUUGAAUCCGGGAGAGGGAUGUGGAAUUCCAGGUGUAGCGGUGAAAUGCGUAGAUAUCUGGAGGAACACCAAUGGCGAAGGCAGCUCGCUGGGACGUGACUGACGCUGAGACGCGAAAGCGUGGGGAGCAAACAGG
rnacentral:rRNA from 1 species